AAAAAUUAGCUGGGCAUGGUGGCGGGCGCCUGUAAUCCCACCUACUUGGGAGGCUGAGGCAGAGAAUUGCUUGAACCCGGGAGGCGGAGGUUGUGGUUAGCCGAGAUUGCCUAUUGCACUCCAGCCUGGGCAACAAGAGUGAAACUCUGUCGCAAAAGAAAAAAAAAAAAAAAAA